UACAGAGGGUGCGAGCGUUGUCCGGAAUCACUGGCGUAAAGGGCGCGUAGGUGGCCCGACAAGUCUGUGGUGAAAGCUCGACGCUCAACGUCGAGUCGGCCAUAGAUACUGUUGGGCUGGAGCACUGUAGAGGCUCAUGGAAUUCCCGGUGUAGCGGUGAAAUGCGCAGAUAUCGGGAAGAACACCCGUGGCGAAGGCGGCACUCUGGGACGGUACUGACGCUGAGACGCGAAAGCGUGGGGAGCGAACAGG
rnacentral:rRNA from 1 species